GCCAUCUUGUCAAUCUGUUCAUCGACGACAUCGAUUCGUUGGCAAUUCAGUUUGUUGAUUAGUUUUCAGAAUAGUUUUUCAACAUGGAAAAGUCGUUUAUUUAUCUUGUACUUCUAUUAUUUGUAAACUGUAAUUUGAGUUUUGUGUCCAGCGAACAUGAAACACUUGUGCUUUUGGAUAAUUUGGCAAUUAAAGAAACGCAUUCAAUGUUUUUCAAGUCAUUGAAAGAUCGAGGCUACGCGUUGACCUUUAAAUCAGCUGAUGACUCCACAUUGAUUUUGUCAAAAUACGGCGAAUAUUUGUAUGAGAAUUUGAUCAUUUUUGCGCCAUCCGUCGAGGAAUUUGGAGGCUCUCUGAGCACAGAAUCGAUCACUGAUUUCAUUGACAAUGGAGGUAACGUUCUGGUAGCUGGAAGUUCCCAAUCGCAGGAUAUCCUGAGGGAACUGGCAACAGAAUGCGGUUUUGAAAUGGACGAAGAAGGAGCCUCAGUUAUUGAUCAUCUCAACUACGAUAUUAGCGAUAGUGGCAAGCACACACUGAUCGUAGCAGACGCAGCCAACCUGAUAGAUGCGCCCGUGAUUGUCGGCGAGCGAAGAGGGGUAGCACCGCUCCUGUACAAGGGAACAGGACUGAUAGCUGACUCUGACAAUCCUCUAGUUCUCAGACUGCUCUCUGCUCACUCAUCUGCCUACUCCUAUGUACCUGAUAGGCCUAUCAAAGAGUAUCCUCACGCAGUUGGCAAAAACACUCUGCUAAUGGCCGCCCUUCAGGCGAGGAACAAUGCCAGGGUGGUCUUCACCGGAUCGCUCUACUUUUUCUCCGAUGAAGCCUUCACGUCUCCCGUACAAAAAGCACAGAGCUCUCAAAAGUGGGUGACGUCUGGAAAUCAGGUGGUUUCCGAAGCACUGACACAGUGGGUGUUCAAGGAGGCCGGAGUAAUCAGGGUCAAAUCUGUGGCUCACAAGCGACUCAACGAGAAGGUGCCUCCACCGGCCUACACCAUUAUGGAUACUGUGGUAUUCUCACUAGAACUGGAGCGCAAGUCCGGCGCCUCAUGGGUGCCUCACGACGUGAACGACCUACAGCUAGAGUUUGUGCGCAUCGAUCCGUUUGUGCGGCGCACAUUGACGCAGAAAGGCCGAGGCAAAUACGAAACCGUUUUCCGUAUUCCCGACGUUUAUGGCGUUUACAAGCUGAAGGUUGACUAUAACCGUGUGGGUUAUACCCAUGUGUAUAGCAGCACACAGGUGUCGGUCAGGCCGCUGGAACAUACGCAGUACGAGAGAUUCAUUGCCAGCGCGUAUCCCUACUAUGCCAGUGCGUUGAGUAUGAUGGCCGGUGUGUUUCUGUUUAGUUUGGUGUUUUUGCAUUAUAAGGAGGAGCCUGUGAAGGGGAAAGUUGAGUAGGUUAGGUUAGGUCGAGGUUUGUUAGGUUAGGUCGAAGUAUGUUAGGUUAGGUUAAGUGAGAUUGUGUGUGGAUUGGUAAGAGGUAAUAUAGAAGAAGAUGAAGAUUGAGGAGUAGGAAGAGAAGAAGAAGAAGAAGAAGUAGGUGGAUUGGCCGGUGUGUUUCUGUUUAGUUUGGUGUUUUUGCAUUAUAAGGAGGAGCCUGUCAAGGGGAAAGUUGAGUAGGUUAGGUUAGGUCGAGGUUUGUUAGGUUAGGUUAAGUCAGAUUGUGUGUGUGGAUUGGAUGGAUUGGUAAGAGGUAAUAUAGAAGAAGAUGAAGAUUGAGGAGGAAGAAGAAGGAGUAGAUGGACGAGGAGGAAGAAGAAGAAGGAGAAGAAGAAGAAGAUGGAGAAGAAAAAGAAGAAGAUGAGGAGAAGCAGAAGAAGAAGAUGGAGGAUGCUAAGGAGGAGACUGAGAAGGUUGAGUAUCUGUUAGACCUUUGGAACACACGCAGUACAAGAGAUUUAUAGCAUAUAGAAGACAUAGCACAAGAAGAUAUGCCAUGGUUUGUAGAAUUCAUUCAAAGUUUGCAAGUUUUGUAUCAAAAUUUGAUACAAACAAUUAAUAAUUUAAUUAUGGUGUUGUGUAACAAGUUUAGAUGAUACUGUAUCAUAUUUUUGUGUUAUGCAAUGGUAGAGGACCGUUAUGUUGCAAAUGUUUGUGUUAACUGAAGCCGAUAGUCCUAGUAGUUGUUUUUGGUGAAGCUAUGUGACGCUGGUAGUCUCUAAUACUGUGCCCUUCUUACACUC
rnacentral:misc_RNA from 1 species